rnacentral:rRNA from 1 species
AGUGAACGCUGGCGGCGUGCUUAACACAUGCAAGUCGAACGGUAACAGGAAGUAGCUUGCUACUUUGCUGACGAGUGGCGCACGGGUGAGUAAUAUAUAGUUAAUGUACCUCAAAGACUGGGAUAGCCACUGGAAACGGUGAUUAAUACUAGAUAUACCUUUAUAACAUAAGUUGUAAAGGGAAACGUUUUUUCGCUUUGAGAUCAGACUAUAUCCCAUCAGUUAGUUGGUAGUGUAAGAGACUACCAAGGCAAUGACGGGUAGCGGGUUUGAGAGGAUGAUCCGCCACACUGGUACUGAGACACGGACCAGACUCCUACGGGAGGCAGCAGUGAGGAAUAUUGCACAAUGGAGGAAACUCUGAUGCAGCAACGCCGCGUGGAGGAUGACGCAUUUCGGUGUGUAAACUCCUUUUAUAUGUCAAGAAAAUGACGGUAGCAUAUGAAUAAGCACCGGCUAACUCCGUGCCAGCAGCCGCGGUAAUACGGAGGGUGCAAGCGUUACUCGGAAUCACUGGGCGUAAAGGACGCGUAGGCGGGUUGUCAAGUCAGGUGUGAAAUCCUACAGCUUAACUGUAGAACUGCACUUGAAACUGGCAACCUAGAGUAUGGGAGGGGAAGAUGGAAUUAGUGGGUGUAGGGGUAAAAUCCGUAGAUAUCACUAGGAAUACCUAAAGCGAAGGCGAUCUUCUGGAACAUAACUGACGCUAAGGCGUGAAAGCGUGGGGGAGCAAACAGGAUUAGAUACCCUGGUAGUCCACGCCCUAAACGAUGAACACUAGUCGUCGUGAUGCUUGUCAUUGCGGUGAUGCACUUAACAGAUUAAGUGUUCCCGCCUGGGGAGUACGGUCGCUAGAUUA